rnacentral:snRNA from 1 species
AUAAGCUUUGAAACUCAUACAAAAA